AGCUGUGCGCUGCGACCAAAAGGGGGGAUUCUGACUCAGAUUUCCCCCCCCCCCCCCUAAAAUUUCAAAAUGCCCUUUCCCGGACUGUUAUCUUUAUUAUUAAACUAACGGGGGUCUCUGCUGUUGGGAGCGGAUUAAUAUUUUCACACGCUGAUUUUUGUCCUUGCCAUGCGCAUUGCGGUACAGCAUCGUCUGUAAUCGGCACCAGUUUCGCUCAUUAAAACUUAAAAUUUAGUUUAAGAGCAGUUUAGGAAAAAAUAUCACUGUGCAGAAUGAUGCGCAAAUCACGCCGCCGUUAUGCUGGAAGCCUUUUCAGAUGCGGGGAAUCUCUUGAAAUUCGGUGAGACGUUUAACAAUCGCCAACAUCUCACAGUCGCACAAACACUUCAACAGGAAUAGUUUUUUUUUUUUUUUAUGUGUUAAUAAUGACAUUAAUUCAAAAUCGAGCGAAGUUACCGGGAAUUUGCACGGAGAUUCCAGCUUUUAUGCAUCAGUGUUCCUGCAGGCUUCUCAGACUCAAAAAUGUCUGGAUCGCGCUGCCAUCUAGCGUACGUUGUGCAAUUACAUCCCCAUAACACCCCCAACGUGCAAGCCAUCAAACUUGCAUUUUUAAGCGCUUAAAUAGAUCUUAAAUAAUAAUUAAAAAGCUCGAACGUGCGUAGAAUUGUCUUGUGUACUUUUGUAGUUCGUAAAAAGUCAAUUUCGCAGGUUAAAGAUAUCGGACGACAUUAAUAAAUUAUUAAGAAAACAUAAACAUGCAUUGAUUAGAGUAUCAUGAUUCAUAAUUAAUGUUUAAACAGUGCUUCCUAAUUAAAAUUACGCUCUGUUUAUAUAAAACAAAGACAAAAAAAAUUCAAAUUUUACUCAAAAGCUUAGGAAAUAAUAAUCCAACACUCAAAGACAUAAAAGUACUUUAAUACAACAAAGCACGCAUAGGCACGUCUAGACUCAAACAGAGAUAUAAGAAGAUAUAACAUAGCGUUAAUAUGCAAGUGCCUCUGUUUGAAUGCGCAUUCAGGAGGGAUGGCUUGUUUUUUAAGUAUUCAAUAAGAGAGCUCUCUCUCCCCGUCCCUGUCUCGGACACACACCAUGGAAACUCUCCGGCCAUGUCUCCAGCACUCUGAAAAGGUGAAACCAAUAAGAUUAAAUCGGACAAUGCAUUUUUUUGCCCCCUUUCUUCCCCCUUUGGUGUAUCAUUAAGAUUUAACUCCGCACAUUUUGGUAAAAGAAUGGGGGUCCGCAUGAGGGAAGAAGAGGAGAGAGAAGAGAGAAAAAGAGUGAGAGGGGGAAGCGAAUAGGAAGCGGGGUAGAUAUAUUAGAGAGGCUCUGAUAGAAACCUGCAUGUGGAGAAAGUGGACGGGUGGGAUGUUGGAAGAAGGAGAUGAAGCACCGGUACAGGAGCGGCUGCUGUGCAGUCACAGAGAAGGCUCACAGCGCUGUAGCUGCAGGAGGCGUCCGAACAAACGCCGAAGGAGGACAGAGAUGCUGGAAUGGGGUUUUCCUUAAUGCUGUUUGAUUUUAGGAAGAGCUUGUGCCUAUUUAGCAGGAUAGGGGUUUAUGUACUGGAUAAAUUGAGGAUUAAAAUUUGAUUCAUCCUUAUUGCCCUUUGGAAAUCCCAUUCCCAAUUUUUAUAUUGGCUUCUUUGAAAAUUAAGAUGUGGAAAAGAGUGUGGUUUGAUUUUUCUGGGAAUCUAACGUCAGCAACUUUCAUAGCAGGAAAUCAAAAUGAAAUUGUUUUGAAGUGAUAGUGGUAUUCAAAUGUAAAAACCUAUCAUGGACUCUACUGGUUUAACUGUGACAAGAUUAAAAGAAUCAGUGGCUAAAUAAUAGCUUUACAAAGUUUGUUUAUGCCCUUUACUUGUAAGCACAUCAGUGACAUGAUAUGAAAACAACACAAAUUUCCUUAAUAUCUUCUAGAAAUGCACCAAUCAGAAUUUUAUGACAAUACGGAAUUUCAACUUUGGUCAUUUGUUCUGAUCUACCAAUAAAAUAUAUAUUUUUUUUGUAUUACAAUUUUUCUCUAUGACAGAUCAUAGAGGAAUAGUGUCGCUUGAUGGAGAUAGGAAUUUUGAAUUCAACAGAAAGCAAAGAAUUAAAAAAAUAAUCAAACAUUUCCCACUUUUUUUGUUUCUAUCAGACCUCAAAAAGUUCCUCUUCAUGGAGGGUUUAAGUUGACGUCUUUAUGGAGUGAAAAUGGUGUGAGUUUAUACCUGUGGUAGUUUUAAUGAGUCAGGGGGAAAAGUCAGAUUUCUUGUUAUUUGAAUACUGUUUGAUCAUCGAACGCUAAUGGUAGAAUAACUUGAUUAUACAUUGGGCAGUGGAAGAGCUAACAUCAGUCUCACUUGAUUUCAAGAUUUAACACCUUUCUUUGAGUCCGAUUCACAAUUUUGCAUUCAUUUUUUUCGUUAUGUAAAUUAUUGGACUCAUUUCACGCUUUAUGGCUGGAAAUGACUCGGGGUAUUCCACAGCACAAAGUAAGAGACUGCAGUUUGCUUUAGCCCCAUAGCAAUAGAUCAGGAAAAACAAGCAGAGAAUGGACAUUAUUGAUGAUUUGUGCAGACGGACCUCAGACGAUCUUGAAUUAUGUGUGAGAGCAAAAGAUAGACACUUACACAUUGCUGUGUUUACUUGGGUCUUGUGUAUGUGUGUAGGUGCGUGUGCGUGUGUGUGAUAGCCGAGUCAGUUUUCCCUCAGAUGUUCCUUGUGACCUUUGACCCUGGAGCCGGGGUCAAACCCUGACAAAUGAGACGGUUGAGCUCUGAGCAGAGCAGCAAACAUUCCACAACCAUCUUCUGUCCUCCUUCUCCUGCUCCUUAUAUCAUUCACCCCUCUUUCUGUCUCUCUCUCCAUCUCCUCUUUAACUGCGACGGGAGCAAAUGAAGUUUAAAACUAAUAAUGAUGAUAUUGGAUAAGUUUAACAUGUGCCUUUUUAUAUUAAACCAGAGAAAUCAUUUGAUCUGAGAGAAGUAAAUGCUGCUGAAGAGUUGAAAUUUUACAACUAUGCACUUUAACAACACACUCCCUGUUGUGUCUACGAGUGCGUGCGUGUACGUGCGCACGCACACGCGUGUGUGUGUGUGUGUGUGUGUGUGUGUGUGGAGAGACUGUCAGUGAUGUCAAGGAUGAGAAAUGUUGCUGUGAGGUUUUUUUACACACGCUGCUGGCUCCAGCAUUUCCGGCAACAUUUCUCACUCUGCCUCCCUCACACCAUCCGCUCUCCUGCAAUAUCCCCACAUUUUUCCAUCCUUUCCGUUCUCUUCCCUGCACCCUCCCCUCCUCACUUUCAGUCCCCACUUCAAACUUCCUCUCCUUGUGCCAUCCUACUCAUCCUAAUCUCAGCCCUUUUCCUUUCUCUCUCUUUUUUUCUCUCGCUCGCUCUCUCUCUCACACGCACACUCUCUCCACCCACUAUUCUCUCUGAUUUUCUUGACACAGAAUGCAACCACCUGUGUCUUUAGGAUGAAUGUGAGGAGUUAUCCACCUUACUCCAGUGAGAGCUGGUUAAGGUAAGUGGGUUGUUGUUUAUCCUACAUUUUUUUGAAUGAAAUUGCUGUAACAAGCCUAACUACCCUUUACAAAUGCUCCAGCUACAAGCCACUGCUGCGAUAACUGUGAAAGCAGUUGUCUAAUUAUGAACGUCAGCAGAGCAGCCAGUGUCGGAAAGGACAUGCAAUGCAGUAAGACGGUGUAACGCUAUUGAACUUGUACAUUGAUGUAAUGUAACAGUUACUGGAAUGCAGUUCCACACAGCACAUAAUCCUAAUAAAAAAAAUUAAAAAAAACCCAGCAAUAUAUGUACGUGUUUGUGUGUUUUUUUUCCCCCUCCCUGUUUCUACUCCCACUUGAAUUGUGAUCGCAUUUGAUGUAGGCUGCUCUGUGAUUCAUUGGAGGGUACAGCUGCUUCACAUGCCUUUUGGACUGGACAAAACUGUCUCCUCACAGGAAAGCUUGAUCACAUGUCUCAAUCACACAGCGAGAUCUGAGCUCUAAUUGGCUGCGCACUGGGGCAUCACCAUGGCGAAUCUGAGUAGCACGCAUGCAGCUUUUUGAUUCGGAUAGUAAGACGGUGGUGGCGUAUGGGGUUGUUGGGGGUCUGAUUGAGGGUGAGGGGGGUCCUUUUGAGUAGAAAGGCAGUGAGUGUCUGGCACAUCUGUGAGCAGGACCACCUGGAACCCAGUUUGCCGUUGUGAUUAACCUCAAUGCACAGUGUAAAGCAUAAACAGUGAGAAUUGUUCAUCUACACAUGCGAUAGCAAAAAAAAUACAAGAGGAAAUGGUGGAAUGUCCUAAGAGCAGCCACUUUACUGCCUGAUAUACCAGAAUGAAUAAAUUAUAAAGCUCUCACCAUCAGCAAACAACUUGCUAUGAUUAAAAUAGCCAGCAGGGGACAGAAAAUAAGUGAAGAACAUGUAGAGGCAUUUCUAUGUAAUCACAGUCUUGUCUAUGUCCGUAGUUUGGUCCAGCUGAUUGUUUUUUACACCAUCUUUUCUUCUUCCUCCUGCUCAGUAUGUACACAGGGAGCUCAAGGGUGCAAAAGAAAAGGCUCCGAAGCAUUCAAUUCGCCGCCACCACCCACUGUUGUCCUACUGUUACCGAGUCAUGGAUGUCUUCCCCUAUCCCCAAGGGAUUCUGCCCCGUUUGCUCCCCAACCCUCCCACCUCUUCCUCAGCUAGCAUGCACCCAGCUACCCAUCCGCCAAUCUCUUCUCCUCCUCCCUGCCUUUGCUCCCUUAUUCAGCGUGUAAAAGCGACCCCUGAAUGAUGGAUUACAGUGUCACUGCAGCCUGCGAAGGAUUAAUUUGUUUCAUUGAUUUCUCUUUAGGCAGAAUGCCAGCGUCUGCCGCUUCCCACCUUUUUCCCCGAGACUCGCUGCUGUAAUAGACGGUAAUGGCCUAAGACAAAUCAACCCCUUUUCUUGUAAAAAUAGCACCAAAUAACCCAACCCACCCUAACAGCUUGCACUCUACUUGGAAGCACAUCAGGUGGUGGUGGUGCAGUGGUGGUGGUGGGUACCGGGAGAGGCCGGGGUGUGUGUGUGUGUGUGUGGUGGGGGGGUCUGUUCAAUUUAUCCUCAUAUUCAGUUUCUAUCACUCUAUCUGGCUACGUUUCGGUACCACCCUCCCUCUUCAUUCAGAGCCGAGGCCAGAGGAGACCAUCCUGUCGCUUUAACAAAGCCAUAAGUCUGCCAUACUUACUGCUCCCUCUCAGGCUUCACAAUGGAUGGGUAAUGGCAGCGCUGUCUGGAGGGGGCUGCGGGAGUUGGGCCAUUCUCUCCAGUAAUGGAAGCUGUUACUGCCAUUCCUUACACACCUGCAAGAACAGCUAACUGCUAACCACUGUGAUCUAUUGCAGAGGCCUCAUUGCGCCGGGCUAAGGUUGAAGGGUUGUACUGACACCAGUGAAUUAGGGCACAUCCUUUCCCCCUCGCACCCCUGCCUUCGCUUUCCAUUUCACACCAAAACCUAUGGAGGAGCAAUGGAGAUAUUUCCAAGCAAAUCUAUAGCCUCAGAGUCCACAUUGGUGCAGCUUUCAGCCUCACAGACUGGCGAUCUAGCUUUCCUGACAUCCGCUGAUUUAACACAGACAUAAGAUGCUGUCACAUCUUUACUACUCUGUCACUGCCUUGAACGAUGGGAAAUCCAAACUGCCUGUAACAUUAAGAACACCACUACAGGCCGACUGUCCUUGAAUGCUUUCCAGUCCCGCAGAGAUUUAUGAGCUGAACCGCAUCCAUUAAUCCACUGUUGAUUUGCUGUGGCUACCCUGCGGGGUUUUUGGGGAUCAGAUAUCAUACAGUGCUGAAACUCACCCUGUCGUGCAAGACGGUGGAAAGCAGCUCUUUUACAAGAGCUGG